GCGACACUAGCUCAUCCGGACAGAGCAUCAGCCUUCUAAGCUGAGGGUGGGCCGUUCGAGUCGGCCGUGUCGCA
rnacentral:tRNA from 1 species